AUUGAACGCUGGCGGCAUGCUUUACACAUGCAAGUCGAACGGCAGCGCGGGCUUCGUCCUGGCAGCGAGUGGCGAACGGGUGAGUAAUGCAUCGGAACGUGCCCAGUAGUGGGGGAUAGCCCGGCGAAAGCCGGAUUAAUACCGCAUACGACCUGAGGGUGAAAGCGGGGGACCGAAAGGCCUCGCGCUAUUGGAGCGGCCGAUGUCGGACUAGCUAGUUGGUGGGGUAAAGGCUUACCAAGGCGACGAUUCGUAGCUGGUCUGAGAGGACGACCAGCCACACGGGGACUGAGACACGGCCCAGACUCCUACGGGAGGCAGCAGUGGGGAAUGUUGGACAAUGGGGGCAACCCUGAUCCAGCCAUGCCGCGUGCGGGAAGAAGGCCUUCGGGUUGUAAACCGCUUUUGUUCGGGAAGAAAUGCUCUGGGCUAAUACCACGGGGGGAUGACGGUAACGGAAGAAUAAGCACCGGCUAACUACGUG
rnacentral:rRNA from 1 species